CCAUUUCUGCAUCUUCGCCAUUUCUGAAAAGAAACGGGGGAUCACGACCAUUUUCUGGGAAGAACAAAAUUCUUUGAAGCAUUAUAUUAUCCCAUUUAUGGAUCUCUGAAGAAAAAUUGAUCUUCCCAAUCUACCCUUUUCCUCGUGUAGUCAACCUCCCACGAAAGUCAUUCCUAACCGGGCCCCAUAAGAUGUCCUAAUUCUUCAAUAUCAGCAUUUCGAGGUUAUCCUUUUGGGACAUUUAGCUGUUCCUUCAAGAUCAGGGAAAAAAAUUUGCCUGGGGAGCUAAGGUUAUAAGGUCGUUCGAUUUUCCAAACCCUAGAUUCGAAUUUGGGGGAAAUAAUUUGGGGGAUUUGGGUCCGACCCAAAUGGAAGGAAGCUUGGGAGGACUUAAUUUUUGUUGAAGAUUUGAUUUUCCCCCCAUGUAAUGCAUGGAUCGGACAUUGUCGAUUUGGGUCUUCUUCUGUUUCUUUGCUAUUUCGGUGCAAUCUCAGGGAAAUGUAAAUCCCCCCAAUUCACAAUCACCGCUGCCGCCACCAUAUUCUCCUCCACCACCACCUCCACCGUCGCCUCCACCUCCACCAUCACCUGUGCCUCCUCCCCCUCCACCUCCCCUUUUAUCACCUCCCCCGCCGCCUCCACCAUCGGCUCCUCCUCCACCUCCUCCGCCCACCCAAAAAGCUCCUCCUCCACAUCAUCACCCCCACACAACCCACCAUAAAUCUGACAUUAAAAGCCCGCCACCACCACCACCAAAAGAAAAGACGUUAAAUUGGGGGAAGAGACUAGGGUUAAUGUUUGUGGGCAUUGCCGCGAUAUUGCAAGUCUGUGUGGUGGCGUUUCUGAUAAUUAAGAGAAGGCAAUUGUUGAAGGCUGAUGCUAGAUUUUGAAAAGACACACAUUUGUAAUUUGAAUCUGUUUAUGGAUUCCAUUUCUUUGACUAAUUAUUUGUUUAGCUUGUCGGAGCAUGUUUUUAUAUAUAGCGAGUGAGUUAUACAGAUUGAGAUUCUUUAAAAGAACCAGCUUUGGCAAGUGAAUUAUGGCAAUCCAUGGAUUACAAAAGGAUUCAACGGAAGAUUGGCGUCUGCAUCUCUGUUUUCGCUCUUGUAAAUUGGUAAUUCUUGAUUGGCAUUAAUUAUUAGCAAAAAUUUUCCUUAAUUUUUC
rnacentral:lncRNA from 1 species